CAGAAAACAAGACAUGGGAAUAUAAAAUAUAAAAGACAUCAACUUUAAGAACUGAACCAGCACUAAUCAAUGUCAGUUUCAGAGAUGACAAGACUGCAUUUUAGUACAAGAGGGAGGACAGAGAACAUCUGCAGAAGGAGAGAUGGGAUGAGGACAACAACAUGCUGCUGGAAACAGAGACAUAUCCUAUCAAUAUACACUGCUGUGUCCAGGAGCUGGGUCCAGACAGCCAGCAAUUUACAGGGAUUUCCAGACACAUCCUAA
rnacentral:lncRNA from 1 species